AUUGAACGCUGGCGGCAUGCUUUACACAUGCAAGUCGAACGGUAACAGGGAGCUUGCUCCGCUGACGAGUGGCGAACGGGUGAGUAAUGCGUCGGAACGUGCCGAGUAGUGGGGGAUAACGCAUCGAAAGGUGUGCUAAUACCGCAUACGUACUGAGGUAGAAAGUGGGGGACCUUCGGGCCUCACGCUAUUCGAGCGGCCGACGUCUGAUUAGCUAGUUGGUGAGGUAAAGGCUCACCAAGGCGACGAUCAGUAGCGGGUCUGAGAGGAUGGGCCGCCAAACUGGGACUGAGACACGGCCCAGACUCCUACGGGAGGCAGCAGUGGGGAAUUUUGGACAAUGGGCGCAAGCCUGAUCCAGCCAUGCCGCGUGUCUGAAGAAGGCCUUCGGGUUGUAAAGGACUUUUGUCCGGGAGCAAAUGCUGGUGGCUAACAUCCACCGGAGCUGAGAGUACCGGAAGAAUAAGCACCGGCUAACUACGUGCCAGCCGCCGCCGUAACAC
rnacentral:rRNA from 1 species